UUUCCAACAAAGACAGAUUGGACCCAACUUGUUUGCUUUGUCAUUGGAAUUUAUAACCAUUAAUAUCAAACUGAGUACCAAAGGCCUCAUUCUCCACCAAAAUAAUAUAAGUCCUGAAAUCAGUUUCUGAGCAGCAAAACAUGGCCCCUAAGAUCUCUCCACUGCUUUCUAUAUCUGUACUAUUGCUCUCACUUUCGCUACUCUUGCCUCCAUCUUCAACCACAACAAACACACACUUAAUUGGAAAAGAAGUCAACCGAGAGAUUGAAAGAUAGCUAAUAGGAGUAGGAGUACCAUGUCAUCCUCAUGCAGGGAGUGGUGUUGUCUGUGAUCCUCCAUAUGCAGUUGCUACCCAGACCCAGGAUCAUAAUUAAUCACUGCUACAUCUGGUAGUUUAUGUUAUAUAUAUAUAUAUAUAUAUAACUGUGAUUUCAAUUCAGAUUUUUAUGGAAAAGAUAAAUACUUAAGUAAUAAACCAUAAUUUGGGUAUUAAUUUAUGUUAUGUUUUGUAUUAGUUUUCAA